AAGUCGUAACAAGGUUUCCGUAGGUGAACCUGCGGAAGGAUCAUUAACGAAUAACUAUGGUGUUGGUUGUAGCUGGCUCCUCGGAGCAUUGUGCACGCCCGCCAUUUUUAUCUUUCCACCUGUGCACCGACUGUAGGUCUGGAUACCUCUCGCCUCCCUUCUCUUAGGGUUAAAGCGGAUGCGGGGAUUGCUCGCAAGGGCUCUCCUCGAACUUCCAGGCUCUACGUCUUUUUACACACCCCAAUAGUAUGAUCCAGAAUGGAUAGUCAAUGGGCUUUCAUAGCCUAUAAAACACUAUACAACUUUCAGCAACGGAUCUCUUGGCUCUC
rnacentral:misc_RNA from 1 species